rnacentral:rRNA from 1 species
CGCUGGCGGCGUGCUUAACACAUGCAAGUCGAACGGGAUCCGGGCAGCUUGCUGCCUGGUGAGAGUGGCGAACGGGUGAGUAAUGCGUGACCAACCUGCCCCAUGCUUCGGAAUAGCUCCUGGAAACGGGUGGUAAUGCCGGAUGCUCCGCACCGUCGCAUGAUGGUGUGGGAAAGGGUUUACCGGCAUGGGAUGGGGUCGCGUCCUAUCAGCUUGUUGGCGGGGUGAUGGCCUGCCAAGGCUUCGACGGGUAGCCGGCCUGAGAGGGCGACCGGCCACAUUGGGACUGAGAUACGGCCCAGACUCCUACGGGAGGCAGCAGUGGGGAAUAUUGCACAAUGGGCGCAAGCCUGAUGCAGCGACGCCGCGUGCGGGAUGACGGCCUUCGGGUGUAAACCGCUUUUGAUUGGGAGCAAGCGAGAGUGAGUGUACCUUUUCGAAUAAGCACCGGCUAACUACGUGCCAGCAGCCGCGG